UACGUAGGGUGCGAGCGUUAAUCGGAAUUACUGGGCGUAAAGCGUGCGCAGGCGGUUCGUUGUGUCGGUGGUGAAAGCCCCGGGCUUAACCUGGGAAUGGCCAUGGAAACUGGCGAACUGGAGUGUGGCAGAGGGGGGUGGAAUUCCCGGUGUAGCGGUGAAAUGCGUAGAUAUCAGGAGGAACACCGGUGGCGAAGGCGGAUCUCUGGGCCGAUACUGACGCUGAGGAGCGAAAGCGUGGGGAGCGAACAGG
rnacentral:rRNA from 1 species